GGUUGAGUGGGAAAACUGUUAACUUCUCUGUUCUAAAGUUUGUUUUAGCUGAGGAAACACACAUAAUCACAAUGGUAAAAAUACAUAUAAUAAAGGAUCUAAAUAGUAAUUGCUUUGAAGGGGCUCUCAGGGUUUGUCACAUUGUGGUCACUCUGUCCACCGUUCUGGGGUCCACAGCCUGAUUGGCUGAUUGGCAGGGGGCAGGGUCAUAAGCAACGGUUUCUAGAUGUGUUGCAUUCUGGGUAGAGGUUAUAUUUUCCUCAUCCCUAACAUCAUCAUCAACCUGUGAGGAAGAGAGGACUCCUUAGGUACAGAGACACACACAUGUACAGAUGUUAUUCCCAUUCAAAAUCAAAUUUUUCCUGGCACUUGCAUGUAACCCAUCCCAAAAAAACAUAUCUGUUACCCUAAACAUAAUGUCUAAUGGAGAAUGAGCCUUUUUAGCCGUGGGCACUGAAUGUCCAGGAUAGGGUCUAACACAUGGAGGCGGAGCUACAGGUCAGCUUCUAACACAUGGAGGCGGAGCUACAGGUCAGAUUCUCACACAUGGAGGCGGAGCUACAGGUCAGAUUCUAACACAUGGAGGCGGAUUUACAGGUCAAGUUCUAACACACGGAGGCAAAGCUACAUGUCAGGGUCUAACACCACUAAUACAGAGACAGGUCAAGGCUAGAUGUCUCAUAUCAACAUAGAUCUGUUAUGUUGUGGAUGAGGGUUUUGGUGGGGGGGUCUUAAGGUGUUGUGUUGAGGGUUUGGUAGGUGGAGUUUUGGGAUGAUGAAAAUGCAUGGACGACUGGCCCAGUAGAUAACAUUGAGAUCUCCUCCAUUUAUAGAUCAGCAACAGGAGGAGUCCCAACACCAACACAGCCAGACUUACACACACCAUGAUGACCAAUGGAAUUCCU
ensembl:lncRNA